AAUAACAAUACAAGGCAGUUAAAAUGCUUUGUAAUUGGAAUGAUAGAAAUUUAAACACUUUUUAAAGUAUCAAUUGGAGGGCAAGUCUGGUGCCAGCAGCCGCGGUAAUUCCAGCUCCAAUAGCGUAUAUUAAAAUUGUUGCAGUUAAAAAGCUCGUAGUUGAAUUUCUGUUAAAAAUAACCGGUCUGCUUUUAAUAAAAGUGGUAUCUUGGUGUGUUUUUAGCAAUAAUGUCCUUUGAAAUGUUUUUUACUUUAUUGUAAUAAAUAAUAUUCAGGAUUUUUACUUUGAGAAAAUUAGAGUGUUUCUAGCAGGCUAACGCUUUGAAUACUGCAGCAUGGAAUAAUAAGAUAGGAUUUUAGUUCUACAUUAUUGGUUUUAAGAACUAAAUUAAUGAUUGAUAGGGACAGUUGGGGGCAUUUGUAUUUAACUGUCAGAGGUGAAAUUCUUAGAUUUGUUAAAGACAAACUACUGCGAAAGCAUUUGCCAAAGAUGUUUCAAUAAUCAAGAAC
rnacentral:rRNA from 1 species